UACGUAGGUCCCGAGCGUUGUCCGGAUUUAUUGGGCGUAAGGCGAGCGCAGGUGGUUUAUUAAGUCUGGUGUAAAAGGCAGUGGCUCAACCAUUGUAUGCAUUGGAAACUGGUAGACUUGAGUGCGGGAGAGGAGAGUGGAAUUCCAUGUGUAGCGGUGAAAUGCGUAGAUAUAUGGAGGAACACCGGUGGCGAAAGCGACUCUCUGGCCUGUAACUGACAAUGAGGCUCGAAAGCGUGGGGAGCAAACAGG
rnacentral:rRNA from 1 species